GCCGCCUGCUACUUUGCCUUCUACAGCUAAACUACCCGAUUUGUCUGCUCACCCAAGCAAUGUGGAUUGCUCUCUUUGCAAUGAGCCAUCAGCUGUGAUGUCUAUUACCCCAGCGGCUGCUAUUCCAAGUCCACCUUCACCUGCAACACCUCCGUGUCCACCGUCACCUGCUGCACCUACGGGUCCUCCUCCUCCAGCUGCUACUUCA
rnacentral:lncRNA from 1 species